rnacentral:rRNA from 1 species
AACGAACGCUGGCGGCAGGCCUAAUACAUGCAAGUCGAACGCCCCGCAAGGGGAGUGGCGCGCGGGUGAGUAACGCGUGGGAAUGUGCCCUUGGGUACGGAACAACACCGGGAAACUGGUGCUAAUACCGUAUAAUGACUAUGGUCCAAAGAUUUAUCGCCCAAGGAUCAGCCCGCGUAGGAUUAGCUAGUUGGUGAGGUAAUGGCUCACCAAGGCUACGAUCCUUAGCUGGUCUUAGAGGAUGAUCAGCCACACUGGAACCGAGACACGGUCCAGACUCCUACGGGAGGCAGCAGUAAGGAAUAUUGGACAAUGGGGGCAACCCUGAUCCAGCCAUGCCGCGUGAAUGAAGAAGGCCUUCGGGUCGUAAAGUUCUUUUAGUGGUGACGAUAAUGACGGUAACCACAGAAAAAGCUCCGGCUAACUCCGUGCCAGCAGCCGCGGUAAU